ACUACUGUCUUUUAUGGUGUGGAUUUUAUAAAUAAACAAGAUGCACAGAAACUGACUAAAGUUGAAGAUAAAGAAGAGAGUCUACCUAUUCACUUCCGUGAUGAGGAUAUGAACCCUAACUCCCCCUAUCCUAGUAUUAAUAAUAAUCCUAUGUUAAGUUAUAAUCCAAUGGCUUUACAGCAUAAUGAACUUGCCAUGCAGUACCAAUCACAACUGUUUAAUAUGUGGAGAUUUAUGUCACCAUUCCAUCAUUUCUCCAUGCAUCCUAAUAUGGAUAUGAUGGGCAUGGGAGGAAACUCAUUAACAAAGGGAGAUAACUCCAUCAGCACGACCAGCUCACCUAAUCAUCAAGGUACAGAAUCACCAGUAUUAAGUGUUGGCAGUAAAAGUGAUCUGGAUCAAUUCAUGGGCAGUAACUCUAGAUCUCCUCUGGUUGUCGAGGACGCCAAUCAGUCAUUAAAUAACUGUAGCGCUGAAGAGAGAAAAGAUCGUGAAACAAAUGGAAUAGUUUCUGCUAGCCCCGUACCGGUUGUGUCAUCGUAAGAAAUGUUAAAAAGAGAUGACAUCGCGAUGGAAAUAUUGUGAAGAAACUAAAACAAUAUCGAACUAUGAUGAUAUUUUGUUGAAAAUGUAUUGGUUGUGUUUAUCAUUUUUUCGUAUUCACUCACUGAAAAACUUUUAUGGUGAAAUCAAAUAAUUUUCACAUUUCAUUUAGUAUCAAAGUUUGCAGUGGGAGUGUCAAUCAUAUCAAGGCCUGGAAAUAACGGUUUUAGAUGUACCAGACAAAAUGUCAGGCACUAAUGAAAUAGUACCUGACAUUUACAACUUAGUGUCAGACAUGUAUUAAUAAUAUCAAUAAAAAAGACUAAUCAGUGCCGGACAAAAUGACAGGCACCAGAGGUUUAGUGCCUGACAGAGCCUGAAUCUGUGCCUGACAUUGUCUGUGACAGGUGCCUUUUUUCCAGGCUUGCUUAUAAUCAUAUCUUAUGUUGUUAAGAGGUUCAUGUAUAAGUGUGUGUAUUUGAGUUAUUUGUGCCAUAUUCCUAAUUAAUGUGUCAAAUUUUAUUUUGAAUAUUCUUGAACCGAAACUUAAAAUAUUUUGUGAUUCUCUUAACCCUUUAGCACUUGGUAUAUGUAAAAUAUUGACUACCUGGGUUCCAUGAAAAAAGACUUCAUGAUUGAAAGAACUAGUGUAGUUGACAUCCUUGGUAUCGGCAGUGGUCUUAUUCCGUUUUACUCCACUAUACUCUAGAGUCAUCUAUGGGGUAUUCACAUAUCAAAAUUAUCUGCUCUUGAUUGAAGCUUGAUUCUACGAACCAAUCAAAAAAACAGUUUAUAAACCAUUCUUAGCCACAUUGUUUACAUUCACAUCGGCAGCUUGUUCGCUCGAAUAUGAGAAAUUUAAUAUAGAGAAGUGACAUGCACACAAAAAGAUGUCCUAAAACAUCUUUACGAUGGGAAAGAUGUUUUUAUGUCAGUCAAAACAGGCAGUGGAAAGUUGUUAUGCUAUCAAGCGUAUCGGUCAAUUAUCACAUCCAUCAAGGGCAGAUAAUUUGAAUACAUGUCCCCCCCCCCCAUGGAUGAAUUCAGGGGUUAGUGGAGUGAAAUGGAAUCAAUCUGGUUAAAACACAGAUCCUAUUUCGUUUCGUUUUUAUAGUUCAAAAUUUCGUUUUACUCUUUACUACACUUGGAUCUGGAAGAGUUGUUAUUUAACUCGUGUUCUGAAUGCUGUCAGGGAUAAGCCAAUGAAACGGUCUGUUACGGCGAGCUUUAGGCGUGUUUUUCACGGACCUGUGGGUAAUCCACUAGUAUUAUCAAUGCUGAUUGGUUAAUCAAAUGUCUGACGUCAUAGGUCAUAAGUCGGUCGUUUGACCCCUGACGUGACCUAUCGCUAUAACUUGUCAGAUCUUCAUGUAGUGUAGGCCAUCGAAAGUAUAAAAAAACAAAACGAAAUAUAGAUCUGUAUUUUAAUCAGAUUGAAAUGGAAUGAGACCACUUGGGAUAUAGAGGAUAUAUAGUUGUCAGCUGUUCAUGGGACCCCAUGAGGGAGCAGUAAUUUGGGGCAGUUCAGUUCUAAAGGGUUAAACAGAUUUUGUUUAAUUUAUGACUUUUAAAUUGAUUAUUUAAAUCGAUUAUUUAAUUUAAACUGUUAAUUUUCUGUUACAAACUUUUUUUUAUCUUCUUCACUUUGCUUGUUAUAUUUGCACAGAAUUUAACCUAAAUAAUUAUUUAUUUAUUUGCCAAAGCUAGAUAGAUUAAUCCUUUUACAUAAAUAUUAAGUACAGGAAAGCAAGAAAUUAAUGCAUCAUGAAAUUAGGUUAAAAUAUGACUGUUUUUUUCAAGCAAUAUUUAAUUUUCCACGGUUUAAUCCAUGUACUCAAAUUGAUUAUUUUUUAUUUAGGAGGGGUUGGAUGGGCGAAUGGUUAGCGCAUGCGCAUUGUAUCAUAAGGUCUGUCAUUGAGUCAUCUGGUGUGCUUUCGAUUUUAUUUCAAUGAUUUGCUUGAACGUAGGGGUUUUUAGCAGUGGAAGGAAACCGAAGGACCCAGAGAAAAUCCACAAGGUUUGACAAGCGACCCUACGUACAACCGGUGAAUCGAAACCACGCCAGUUGACUCAAUAACAGACCUUAUGAUACAUCGCUCAUGUGCUAACCAUUUGGUCAUCCAACCCCACUCUAUUGCUUUGAGGUGGAGUGUAUGUUUGACAGUACAUAAAGAUACAUUAUGUAAGAUUUAGAUAAAGAGCUAACCAUUCUUGCUAUAAUAGUUCGAAAGUAGAUGAUGUAAAAUGAAUAAUUUGAAAAUUUCAUUCAAAUUACUCUAUUGCAACCGAAGAUAUUAGCCUUUGAAGGCUUGACAGACGUGUGUAAUAAUUUUAACCACCGUACUGGUUGAUCAAAGCUAAGUCUCGGUCCCCCAUAUUUGAUUAAAUCAAAGUAUCGCUGAACCAUUCUAAUCUAUUUAAUAUCGGAGAAAUUUGAUGCCAUCGAGAGUUGAUUAAGGCCUGGAUCAGUUAAUUAAUGUCUAAUUAAUACUUUAAAAAACAUUUCAGGCCUAAAGAAAGACCUGCAAUAGGCAGAUUUAGCUCUUGCAUAAUGCAUGUUUAAUAUUGAUAACAUUUUAGAAACAAAUGCAUUUUAAACUUUAAUUUCUUGCUGUCAAUAAUUUCUUGCUGUCAAUAAUUUCUUGUGUUAUACUGGUAAUACUAGGUUUUCACUAUCACGAUUUGUGCUACGAUUGAAAUCGUGGUUUUGAUCGUGGAGUAAUCAUGGUGAUCCUAUCAAGUCUUAUAUAUUGUGGUCAGUCGUAGCAAUCGGGUAUCGAAACGUAUAAUAAUAAUAAUAAAUACUUUAUUUCAAAAGGGUUGAAAAUUAGGCCAAUGACGUAUCUGAACGUGAGAGAGAGAAAUGGGGUUUAAAGUCCACUCGACACAAACCAGGUCAUUUCGGGACUAACACAUGGUUCAAUUUUAUUUCAAUAAUUCGCUUGCGUGUAGGUGGUCGUUAGCAGUGGGAGGAAUCCGGAGGAGCCGGAGAAUACCCACGAGGUGUAUCUGAACGUAUAUGCACGUACCAGAUCAUGGACUCAAUUACAGGGUUCCCGCGGCUUUGUCAAACAUUUUUUCAAGGAUAUUCAAGGAUAAAUAUACGUCAAAUUCAAGGAUUUUCAAGGACAUUUUUUAGCCUAAAGUUACAAUUUUUCAUCUUAAAAAUAACCAAAACAUUACCAACUAUCGGUAUAAUCUCAUAUUUAAAAGGAAUUGAAGACAUUUAAAACAAAAUUAAGGAUCUCAACUGAAAUUCAAGGAUAUUUUCCUAUUUCCGCGAAAUUCAAGGAUAUUCAAGGACCGCGGGAACCCUGAAUAAGGACAAUCCUAUCGUAUUGUAACGCACCACGCGACAGUG